AAAGGGAGACCUAAUUCAGGUAUAAGACGAAAAAAAAGUAGUCCCUACCAAGAAUCAAUCCCAAAAGGUCGGAACGAGGUAUGAGGCUUUCAAACUAGGUUCUGGGUUCAUAAAAGACCUGAAUCAGGAACAAGGGCUAUUAGCUCAGGUGGUUAGAGCGCACCCCUGAUAAGGGUGAGGUCCCUGGUUCGAGUCCAGGAUGGCCCACCUGCACAGGUGGCAAAAACAAGAGAAGCGAGGAAUCAGCACCUUAUCUUAUAUACAUAUAUAAGAGAGAAUGCUGGCUCUGAGUACAGAGUCCAGAGGAACCUUGAAAACUGCAUAGAGCUAGGUGAAAAAGCCAAAAAAGAAGGCCGCAAG
rnacentral:tRNA from 1 species